rnacentral:rRNA from 1 species
CGCUGGCGGCGUGCCUAAUACAUGCAAGUAGAACGCUGAAGACUUUAGCUUGCUAAAGUUGGAAGAGUUGCGAACGGGUGAGUAACGCGUAGGUAACCUGCCUACUAGCGGGGGAUAACUAUUGGAAACGAUAGCUAAUACCGCAUAACAGCAUUUAACACAUGUUAGAUGCUUGAAAGGAGCAAUUGCUUCACUAGUAGAUGGACCUGCGUUGUAUUAGCUAGUUGGUGAGGUAACGGCUCACCAAGGCGACGAUACAUAGCCGACCUGAGAGGGUGAUCGGCCACACUGGGACUGAGACACGGCCCAGACUCCUACGGGAGGCAGCAGUAGGGAAUCUUCGGCAAUGGGGGCAACCCUGACCGAGCAACGCCGCGUGAGUGAAGAAGGUUUUCGGAUCGUAAAGCUCUGUUGUAAGAGAAGAACGUGUGUGAGAGUGGAAAGUUCACACAGUGACGGUAACUUACCAGAAAGGGACGGCUAAUUACGUGCCAGCAGCCGCGGUAAUACGUAGGUCCCGAGCGUUGUCCGGAUUUAUUGGGCGUAAAGCGAGCGCAGGCGGUUUAAUAAGUCUGAAGUUAAAGGCAGUGGCUUAACCAUUGUUCGCUUUGGAAACUGUUAGACUUGAGUGCAGAAGGGGAGAGUGGAAUUCCAUGUGUAGCGGUGAAAUGCGUAGAUAUAGGAGGAACACCGGUGGCGAAAGCGGCUCUCUGGUC